AGGGUUUGAUCCUGGCUCAGAUUGAACGCUGGCGGUAGGCUUAACACAUGCAAGUCGUGCGAGAAAGUAUCUUCGGAUAUGAGUAGAGCGGCGGACGGGUGAGUAACGCGUAGGAAUCUACCUAGUAGAAGGGGAUAGCCCGGGGAAACCCGGAUUAAUACCGUAUACCUCCUUCGGGAGAAAGAAGGCCUCUCUUUGAAGCUUUCGCUACUAGAUGAGCCUGCGUAAGAUUAGCUUGUUGGUGAGGUAAAGGCUCACCAAGGCGACGAUCUUUAGCUGGUCUGAGAGGACGAUCAGCCACAUUGGGACUGAGACACGGCCCAGACUCCUACGGGAGGCAGCAGUGGGGAAUAUUGGACAAUGGGCGCAAGCCUGAUCCAGCCAUACCGCGUGUGUGAAGAAGGCCUUCGGGUUGUAAAGCACUUUAAGCAGGGAGAAAAAGUUAUAAG
rnacentral:rRNA from 1 species